rnacentral:misc_RNA from 1 species
UACUUCUCAACCCCGCUUUAUUAAUUUAGAGUAGUUUGGGCUUGGAUCAUGAUCGUUGCCGGCUUAAUUGCCAGGCUCGAUUGAAAUACAACAAGCUGGAUGAUGCUAUUAGCGGCUUGAACCUAACGUUGUAAUUACUAUUCGUUAGGCUACGCUUUCAGUAACAAUGAGCUUACCAAUUCAUUAAGAACUUUAUUGUUCA